rnacentral:rRNA from 1 species
GACGAACCGUGCGAACGUUAUUCGGAAUCACUGGGCUUAAAGGGCGCGUAGGCGGGCUCGUAAGUCAGGGGUGAAAUCCCACGGCCCAACCGUAGGAAGUGCCUCUGAUACUGCGGGCCUCGAGGGGGGAUAGGGGCGUGCGGAACUCAGGGUGGAGCGGUGAAAUGCGUAGAUAUCCUGAGGAACACCGGUGGCGAAAGCGGCGCGCUGGAUCCCUUCUGACGCUGAGGCGCGAAGCCAGGGGAGCAAACGGG